rnacentral:rRNA from 1 species
CCUGAUGCAGCAACGCCGCGUGAGGGAUGACGGCCUUCGGGUUGUAAACCUCUUUUAGUAGGGAAGAAGCGAAAGUGACGGUACCUGCAGAAAAAGCACCGGCUAACUACGUGCCAGCAGCCGCGGUAAUACGUAGGGUGCAAGCGUUGUCCGGAAUUAUUGGGCGUAAAGAGCUCGUAGGCGGUUUGUCGCGUCUGCUGUGAAAUCUGGGGGCUCAACCCCCAGCCUGCAGUGGGUACGGGCAGACUAGAGUGCGGUAGGGGAGAUUGGAAUUCCUGGUGUAGCGGUGGAAUGCGCAGAUAUCAGGAGGAACACCGAUGGCGAAGGCAGAUCUCUGGGCCGUAACUGACGCUGAGGAGCGAAAGCAUGGGGAGCGAACAGGAUUAGAUACCCUGGUAGUCCAUGCCGUAAACGUUGGGAACUAGAUGUGGGGGCCAUUCCACGGUCUCCGUGUCGCAGCUAACGCAUUAAGUUCCCCGCCUGGGGAGUACGGCCGCAAGGCUAAAACUCAAAGGAAUUGACGGGGGCCCGCACAAGCGGCGGAGCAUGCGGAUUAAUUCGAUGCAACGCGAAGAACCUUACCAAGGCUUGACAUAUACCGGACACGUCCAGAGAUGGUCGCCCCGCAAGGGUCGG